rnacentral:rRNA from 1 species
GAUGAACGCUAGCGGCAGGCCUAAUACAUGCAAGUCGAACGGGAUCCAGAUCAAAGCUUGCUUUGGUCUGGUGAGAGUGGCGCACGGGUGCGUAACGCGUGAGCAACCUACCCUUGUCAGGGGGAUAGCCCGGCGAAAGUCGGAUUAAUACCGCAUGACAUCAUUGAGAGGCAUCUUUCGAUGAUCAAAGAUUUAUCGGACAAGGAUGGGCUCGCGUGACAUUAGCUAGUUGGUAAGGUAACGGCUUACCAAGGCUGCGAUGUCUAGGGGCUCUGAGAGGAGAAUCCCCCACACUGGUACUGAGACACGGACCAGAAUCCUACGGGAGGCAGCAGUAAGGAAUAUUGGUCAAUGGACGGAAGUCUGAACCAGCCAUGCCGCGUGCAGGAAGACGGCCCUAUGGGUUGUAAACUGCUUUUAUACGGGAACAAACGUCGGUACGUGUACCGGUCUGAGUGUACCGUAAGAAUAAGGAUCGGCUAACUCCGUG